rnacentral:lncRNA from 1 species
CCUCACUACCUUAUCCUCAUAAUCUCAAUACUCCUGCAAGAUUGGUUUCCUCAAAAUAUACCAAGUUAAAACCCUCCGGCACCAGCACCGGCACCGGCACUGACACCGACACCAAUUAUCUCAUACUCUCCGACUUUGGCACCGAAAAAAGCCAUCUCUAAGCAUUAUCGCUUGCUGUACAGAAGGACCCAUCCUCAUCUUCGUCUAUCGCAUGUAUCCAGUUGUACCAGCGUCAAAAGCAUUGAUUUGUUUUAUAGCAAGCAGAAAUAAUUUCGAAUCUGUUGGGUUUUCAACAGAUUGAUUAUGUCGUUUAAUCGUUUGACAUGGGUGUUGACUUUGUUUGCUAUUAUUGGUUGAUGGUAUUGUUGUACAUGAACUUGGAAUCUAUUGGGGGUUUAAUUUUUAUUUCUCAUUUUGUAAAUGAAAUGCCAGUAGCAGUCGUUGGGUCAAAGGAAGGUUUUUUUCCUUUUUUUCUCCUAAAUCGUGUGCGUUGUAAACUAGCACAGAGUAUUGGCUUGGAUAUUAUGUAUCUUGUUUCCAAUUGCAUUAUACCAAACCCAACACAAUGUUUUAGAAGACUUUGUUCUUGCUUAUGAGGCGAUUUUCGUUUCGUA